UACGUAGGUGGCAAGCGUUGUCCGGAUUUACUGGGUGUAAAGGGCGUGCAGCCGGAGAGACAAGUCAGAUGUGAAAUCCACGGGCUCAACCCGUGAACUGCAUUUGAAACUGUUUCCCUUGAGUGUCGGAGAGGUAAUCGGAAUUCCUUGUGUAGCGGUGAAAUGCAUAGAUAUCGCGCAGAACUCCGAUUGCGAAGGCAGCUUACCAAGCUACUUCUGACGUUGAGGCACGAAAGCGUGGGGAGCAAACAGG
rnacentral:rRNA from 1 species